rnacentral:rRNA from 1 species
GCUUUUGUACACACCGCCCGUCGCUGCUACCGAUUGAAUGUUUUAGUGAGGUCCUCGGACUGGUAUGCAGCAUCGACCCCGUCAUUGCUGAUGCUAACGGAAAGAUGACCAAACUUGACCAUUUAGAGGAAGUAAAAGUCGUAACAAUGUUUCCGUAGGUGAACCUGCGGAAGGAUCAAUA